rfam:Myceliophthora thermophila ATCC 42464 chromosome 1, complete sequence.
CUCGCAGUUGAAACGAUACAGAGAAGAUUAGCAUGGCCCCUGCACUAAGGAUGACACGCUACUCAAAGAGACGCUACCAAUUUUU